rnacentral:rRNA from 1 species
CUGAAGAGUUUGAUCCUGGCUCAGAUUGAACGCUGGUGGCAUGCUUAACACAUGCAAGUCGAGCGGUAACAGGAGAAGCUUGCUUCUCGCUGACGAGCGGCGGACGGGGUGAGUAACGCGUAGGAAUCUACCUGUACGAGGGGGAUACCAGUUGGAAACGACUGUUAAUACCGCAUAAUAUCUACGGAUUAAAGGUGGCCUUUGUGCUGCCGCGUACAGAUGAGCCUGCGUUGGAUUAGCUAGUUGGUGGGGUAAAGGCCUACCAAGGCUACGAUCCAUAGCUGAUUUGAGAGGAUGAUCAGCCACAUUGGAACUGAGACACGGUCCAAACUCCUACGGGAGGCAGCAGUGGGGAAUAUUGGACAAUGGGGGCAACCCUGAUCCAGCAAUACCAUGUGUGUGAAGAAGGCCUUAGGGUUGUAAAGCACUUUAGUUGGGGAGGAAGUAUUAUGGGUUAAUAUCCUGUAUUAUUGACGUUACCCAAAGAAUAAGCACCGGCUAACUCCGUGCCAGCAGCCGCGGUAAUACGGGGGGUGCAAGCGUUAAUCGGAAUUACUGGGCGUAAAGGGUUCGUAGGUGGUAUGUUAAGUCAGAUGUGAAAGCCCAGGGCUCAACCUUGGAACUGCAUUUGAUACUGGCAAACUAGAGUAUGGUAGAGGAGUGGGGAAUUUCUGGUGUAGCGGUGAAAUGCGUAGAGAUCAGAAGGAACACCAAUGGCGAAGGCAACACUCUGGACCGAUACUGACACUGAGGGACGAAAGCGUGGGGAUCAAACAGGAUUAGAUACCCUGGUAGUCCACGCUGUAAACGAUGAGUACUAGCUGUUGGAUUCGGUGUAAAGGAUCUAGUGGCGCAGCUAACGCGUUAAGUACUCCGCCUGGGGACUACGGCCGCAAGGCUAAAACUCAAAGGAAUUGACGGGGACCCGCACAAGCGGUGGAGCAUGUGGUUUAAUUCGAUGCAACGCGAAGAACCUUACCUGGUCUUGACAUCCUAGAAACUUAGCAGAGAUGCUUAGGUGCCUUCGGGAAUCUAGUGACAGGUGCUGCACGGCUGUCGUCAGCUCGUGUUGUGAAAUGUUGGGUUAAGUCCCGCAACGAGCGCAACCCCUAUUGAUAGUUACCAUCAUUAAGUUGGGUACUCUAUUGAGACUGCCGCUGACAAGGCGGAGGAAGGUGGGGACGACGUCAAGUCAUCAUGGCCCUUAUGACCAGGGCUACACACGUGCUACAAUGGAUAUUACAGAGGGCUGCAAAACCGCGAGGUGGAGCGAAACUCAGAAAGGUAUUCUUAGUCCGGAUUGCAGUCUGCAACUCGACUGCAUGAAGUCGGAAUCGCUAGUAAUCGCGAAUCAGAAUGUCGCGGUGAAUACGUUCCCGGGUCUUGUACACACCGCCCGUCACACCAUGGGAGUGGGUUGCUCCAGAAGUAGAUUAACCUUAGGGAGGGCGUUUACCACGGAGUGAUUCAUGACUGGGGUGAAGUCGUAACAAGGUAGCCGUAGGGGAACCUGCGGCUGGAUCACCUCCUU